GACCGGAUUUGACAGCAGGUCGGAGUGGUAUGUAAGCACGCAGUGCGCCUGAAGGUGGGCACUAUAAUCUCGGCUUUCAAAAAUUUAAUUGGCGAAAACAACUACGCUCUCGCUGCCUAAUUGAAGUAUAGUAGAUUAGCUUAAUCCCGACCACCGAUGUGUUGGGACGAGACAUUGCCCAAGUGCCCUGCGUUCCGAGGCGGCUUGAUACGGCAGUGCAGGAAUAUCGGGACAUGCGCCCUUUCGGCUCCGCGGACCGGCGCGAGACUUAGGAGAUAAGGUGUGCAAAUGGCUGCUUCGGCCUAUUACACACACGAAAACCAAUACGAAGCUAAGCGUGUAGAAAGCAUAUUGUUUCCCUGUUUGGACGAGGGUUCGACUCCCUCCUGGUCCACCA
rnacentral:tmRNA from 1 species